rnacentral:SRP_RNA from 2 species
GCCGGGCGUGGUGGCGGGCGCCUGUAAUCCCAGCUACUUGGGAGGCUGAGGCAGGAGAAUGGCGCGAACCCGGGAGGUGGAGCUUGCAGUGAGCGGAGAUCGCGCCACUGCACUCCAGCCUGGGCAACAGCACAAGACUCUGUCUCAA